AAAUCCAUGUUCUUCUUUCAAGUUGAUGUUAACACAAAAAAUGCGUAAGCAAAAUAAUGUAUCAGCAAGAACACGGAAGCUACCCAAGGACAGAUUUCCUUGUAAAGUUGUUGGCAGGUGCUGCCUCAUGGAUGCAGUGGCAGGUGGAAGAGGAUGAACAAGAAUUACAAUUCCCAUCCUGACAGAGCAAUGUACAAACUAUUGGACAAGUAGACCACAUCUCAGGUCUCUCAUGUACCACUCAGGUUAGGAAUAUA